rnacentral:misc_RNA from 1 species
UCAUCAUCAUCAUCAUCUUCUUCACUUUUUGCAGAACCGUUUUCGCAAGAAUCAGAAACCGAAAUAGUUAUCCCAAGAAAGCCUCCAAAAUCCUCUCUUUCGAAGCAGAUUCAACGUCUUGGAGACUGUUUCCCUUCGCUGCAACAAUCUCAAUCACAACACUUUGAUACCCAACAGUCCGUAAAGCUCCCGAGCCUCGGAAACCAAUCCCAAGUUGAGAAAAAUGAAGAUGAAUUGGAGGAAGAAGAGGAGGAAAGAGAAUUUGAGAAUUUUGGGAGACCAGAAUUUGAUCAGUUUCAGUUUGAUCAUACAGGACCCUUUGAGCCAUUGGUCCUUUCUUUGCCUGGAGAGGUACCUAUUGUACAGGUUCCUGCAUCUAUCAACUCCAGGUUGUUUGAACAUCAAAAGGAGGGAGUAAAAUUCUUGUAUAAGCUAUACAGAAACAAUCAUGGAGGUGUUCUUGGUGAUGACAUGGGGCUGGGCAAGACUAUACAGACAAUAGCAUUCUUGGCAGCUGUUUUUGGGAAAGAUGGAGAAUCUGCUGAUUCCAUAAUAUUAAGGGAUGAUCAGGUAGGGAAAAAAGGCCCUGUGCUAAUAAUUUGCCCCACUUCUGUCAUCCAUAACUGGGAGACUGAAUUCUCCAGGUGGUCAACCUUUAAUGUCUCUCUUUACAAUGGUGCAUACCGUGAUUUGAUUCUUGAGAGAUUAGAAGCAGGUGGAGCCGAAAUACUGAUUACCAGUUUUGACACAUACAGAAUUCAUGGGAGAAUUUUGUCAGAGUUUAAAUGGGAGAUUGUCAUUGUUGAUGAGGCUCACCGGCUUAAAAAUGAGAAAUCAAAAUUGUAUGGAGCAUGUUUAGAAAUUAACACUAGGAAACGAAUUGGUUUAACAGGAACUAUUAUGCAGAAUAAAAUUAUGGAACUUUUUAAUCUCUUUGACUGGGUUGCACCUGGAUCAUUGGGAACAAAAGAACAUUUUAGGGAGUUUUAUGAUGAACCUCUUAAGCAUGGCCAGAGGGCAACUGCACCUGAAAGAUUUGUCCGGGUUGCCGAUGAGCGUAAAGAGCACCUGGUGGCAGUUCUUCAGAAAUAUAUGCUUAGGAGGACAAAGGAGGAGACUAUUGGGCAUCUUUUGUUGGGAAAGGAAGAUAAUGUUGUAUUCUGUGCCAUGAGUGAAUUACAAAAACGGGUUUAUACGAGAAUGUUACAAACGCCAGAGGUCCAGUGUCUUAUAAAUAAGGACCUUCCAUGUAGCUGUGGUAGCCCCCUUAAACAAGUGGAAUGCUGCAAAAGGAUCGUACCAGAUGGAAUUAUAUGGCCUUACCUUCACAGGGAUAACCCUGAAGGUUGUGAUUCUUGCCCCUUUUGCCUUGUACUUCCUUGCCUUAUCAAGCUCCAACAGGUGAAUAUAUUUAAUGAAUUUUUCUGUGUUCUAUUGUUGUUAUUAUGAUUAUUACUUUGUAUAUUGUUUAUAUUUAUUUACUCAAUGGGAAGGUCAACUGCUUCUUUAUUGGUUUGAAAAAGAAUUUGCUUUUGCUCAUGUCGGGAUAUAUUUUGUAGUAUGUUUCUGUAUUUCUUUAUGGUUAUAUCUUGAUAUGACUAACAGAUAAGCAAUCACCUAGAGCUGAUUAAGCCUAACCCUAGGGAUGAACCAGACAAACAAAGGAAAGAUGCAGAGUUUGCCUCUGCUGUCUUUGGUACUGACAUUGAUUUGGUGGGAGGGAAUGCCCAGACUGAGAGUUUCAUGGGCCUGAGUGAUGUUAAACAUUGUGGAAAAAUGCGAGCAUUGGAAAAGUUAAUGUCCUCCUGGGCUUCUCGAGGUGACAAACUUCUUCUCUUCAGCUACUCAGUGAGGAUGCUAGACAUAUUGGAAAAGUUUCUCAUACGUAAAGGGUAUAGCUUUUCGAGACUUGAUGGUUCUACUCCAACUAACUUGCGCCAGUCUAUGGUUGAUGACUUCAAUUCGAGCCCAAGCAAACAGGUAGUUAGAUUCUUUCAAGUGAAAAGAUGAUAAUAAGUUCAUGCUCCAAAUUCUUCCUGACUACAUCUCUUGUUUAAGGUGUUCCUCAUCUCAACUCGAGCUGGUGGGCUUGGGUUGAAUCUUGUAAGUGCAAAUCGUGUGGUUAUAUUUGAUCCAAACUGGAAUCCUGCCUAUGAUUUGCAAGCCCAGGACAGGUCAUUUCGUUUUGGGCAGAAGCGGCAUGUUGUAGUUUUCCGCCUUCUUGCAGCUGGGUCAUUUGAGGAACUUGUUUAUACCCGUCAAGUGUACAAACAGCAGCUGUCAAACAUUGCUGUCUCAGGGAAAAUUGAAAAACGUUAUUUUGAAGGUGUCCAGGAUUGUAAGCAAUUUCAGGGUGAGCUUUUUGGAGUCUGCAAUCUGUUCCGUGAUCUAUCUGAUAAGCUUUUUACCAGUGAAAUCAUUGAAUUGCAUGAGAAACAGGGAAAAGAUGAUGGACAUUGCUCUACUACAAAGCAUGAACUACCUGAAAUUGCGAGUUGUUUUCUUCCUGAAAUUGCGAGUUGUUUUCUUCCUGAAAUUGCGAGUUGUUUUCUU